UUGCUAUCUGCAUAUUUUACGAUUCGAACCUGCAGCAGGUUUGGGUCGAGCCAUUCUGGCGAGACAACGGCGCCGUUUACGGCGACGGCCCGAAGGGCGAGGCGAAGCCGAGUCAUCCUGCACGACCCACCA
rnacentral:sRNA from 1 species